CGGUUAAAAAGCUCGUAGUUGGAUCUCGGCGGGCAGGGGGUGGUUCGCUCUUCAGCGCUACUGCCCCGCUUUGCCCGUGUGAUUGGCGGAGGUUUCGGGGUGCUCUUCGUUGAGUGACUCGGAGCGCCGUCAGGUUUACUUUGAAAAAAUUAGAGUGCUCAAAGCAGGCUUUUCACGCUUGAAUAUUCGUGCAUGGAAUAAUGGAAUAGGAACUCGUUUCUAUUUUGUUGGUUUUCGGAAAUCGAGUUAAUGAUUAACAGGGACAAUUGGGGGCAUUAGUAUUCAGACGACAGAGGUGAAAUUCUUGGACCGUCUGAAGACUGACUACUGCGAAAGCAUUUGCCAAGAGUGUUUUCAUUAAUCAAGAACGAAAGUUAGAGGUUCGAAGGCGAUCAGAUACCGCCCUAGUUCUAACCAUAAACGAUGCCAGCUAGCGAUCUGCCGAGUUUUUUUUGUAGGCUCCGCAGGAAGCUUUCGGGAAACCAAAGCUUUUGGGUUCCGGGGGAAGUAUGGUUGCAAAGCUGAAACUUAAAGGAAUUGACGGAAGGGCACCACCAGGAGUGGAGCCUGCGGCUUAAUUUGACUCAACACGGGAAAUCUCACCAGGCCCGGACACUG
rnacentral:rRNA from 1 species